GGCCAAGUGGGUCACUUCUGGAUGGAAAUCAACACGCAGGCCGCACUGGCAAUAGAAAUCUGAGGAUUUGAGCCAAAUCAUAGGAUUGAAAAUCCGCGUGUCGGUGGUUCGAUUCCGCCCCAGGCCACCA
rnacentral:tRNA from 1 species